rnacentral:lncRNA from 1 species
UUUUUAAAAAGAUCAAUGUGUACUGAUUUUGACCCUUUUUUCACAAGGCAUUACAGAUUUAUUUUUUUUAGUUCUCUUUGUGUUCCUUUGCUAGCAAUUAUAUUCUACUAUUGUCCAUGCCUUAUUUGUUACAUCAAAAAAUCUUAUUCUUUUUAGGGGAUAGUUUAAAUUUACAUUUUCUUGCUAUUACAUAACUAAGCGCACUGGGCAUGCUCUUGACGACCUUUGAUAUUGCUAUUCAUUUUCUAUUGUGAAAGCUUUGGGCAUGCUUUGGAUGUCUUUUGAUAUUACCAUUCAUUUGCUAUUGUGAAAGCUUCUUUUUCUAAUUGAUUACAGAAUGCAGCGAAACAAGGGUCAGUUCAUAUCGUCCAAACCAAAGCCUGAAGAUUCAUCAUCUGGCGUUACCAGUUGGGAUACUGCCCAACAAUGGGGUUCACCGGAGAAUCGGCCGCCAGCAGCAUCUGCGUAAGCUUUUGAAAAAUCCUGCAUCUUUGACUAGAUUGUUCUUCAGUUAAAGUGCUCAGCAUCAUGGAUAUGGCCAAACUAGGAGGCAUAUUUGUAUACUUGGGCAGAUACCAUAAUUAUGUUGUAUCUGUGAGCUUCCUUGGGCAAGUAUCCAUUGAUGAAGAUAACUAAACACUAAUCUGUUUGCUCGAGGAUGCUAGGCUAGACUUGCCAGCACAUCUGAUAUCAAUCUUGCCAUUGGAUGACGUUUCAUCUCCUGCUGAUGAAAUGCCAUCCUGAUUCAUGGUCCUUGUGUUUUGAGCUUUUUAAUGACUUCUUUAUUUGUUUAAUUAAAUAGAUGUUCUAUGUGCUUGAAUUCUUAUAUUUACCCUUGGGUUAUAUAUGCAUGGGUUGUUUUGAUAUAAUAUCUGAACAUGGAGAUGCUUUAAUUGCUAUUCCUUUAGAUUUAGUGCAUCAAAAACAGUGUUAUUCUUUCAAGAUCUGAUCUUGAUGUUUUUUUCUGAACAUAAUCAGAUGCCAUCAUUGUGGCAUUAGUGCAAAAUCUACACCAAUGAUGCGCCGUGGGCCUGAUGGACCGAGGACCUUAUGUAAUGCAUGUGGUCUGGUGUGGGCAAAUAAGGUUGAUAUUCCGAACUUUGUUCUAUGUUUGUUUUGCUGUGUAAUUAUUUUAAAGCUAGCUUCCUAUUUUCCUUUUUGCUUUAAUGUUACUAUGUUUUUUUUAGAUCUUUUUGAUUGUUGCAAGAUGCGGAAAGAGCUUUUGAGUGCGUCUUCUAGACCAGCUUUUGGAUUGGCAUAUUAGUGUCACUAAGUGUUCUACUUAUGGGCCUAGGCUGUUCUGGCUUCGAGAUGAGCUUUGGGCUUGGCCUAAAAGGAUAUGGGUUUGGGCCUAGUCAUGGAAUCCAAAGUCUAAAAGAGUUUCAAGGCUGGUUAUGGGCAAAGCUUGGCACAACUUGAGGCUGGCUUGAAACCCAAGUCUGAGUCGGAAGCCCAGCUCAAAGCUCGAGUUCGAAGCCCAACUCAAAGCCCAAAUCCACCCCCCAACCUAAAGCCUGACCUAGACCCUUACCUAAGCCCAUGUUCUAGUUUCUUAACCCUUGACCUUGAACAUGCCCUAGUUUCCUUUCCCUCCACCUCUGUAGCGUGCCCCAAUUUCCUCACCUCGCACCCCUGUGCUCGGUCUUAACUCUUCCUACCAUGCCCAUCCCCAUCCCUUGCCUCUUCCUCCUCCAUUGUCGCCUUUCCCUCCACCUCGUCUUCCUCCUCCAUUGUCGCCACCUUCCCCUUCACCCCCUCUGAGCAUUGUCACUCUGCUACCACCUCCCUUCUCGUCUUCUCACACUGCUCCCAUUACUCCCUCUCCUUCAUCCAGUCCACCCUCCUUCUUCCUCUUCCUCUUCUCCUUCCUUGCCUCUCUCUUCUUCUUAACCCUCUUCCUUCUCUCCUUUGCCCUCUUACCGUUACCACCUCCCCACGACCUCCAACUUCUCCACCUUCGCUCUUUUGAAACCCUAACCCUCUUCCCCUCCUUCCCUCUACCUUCCUCACUCUUGUCUUCCUCCACUUCCACGCUCUCCAACUAGAUUAGGCUCAAUUCCAGUUGAGCUUGCUUUGGCUUGAUUUGGAGUUGGGCUCAGAUUUGAGCUCCAAUAUCGGGCUGUUGUUGGACCUUGUAUGAUAUUGUUGAGCUUAAGCUUGACGCAGAGUGCAAUUUUUUUUUUACUUCACAGGGCUAGCAAGGCGAUGGCCUGACCUGACCCAGCAAGUUUCUAGCUCUAACUUGGAGAUAGUAGGCGGUGAUAUAGGAUAUUACUUAUUUUGGUUUUCCAAUGUGUAAUUCCUGGCUGUGCAUGUACCAUGAUUGCUUGUUAGGGUGAUCAGGGAUUUUAUCAUAUCAUAAGCUAAGUUUGUAGAAGUUGUCAUCACUUAUUGAAUUCAUAUGGUCCUUUUGAAAAAUAUAGUUAUUAACAUGUAUCACUUGCAUUACUUGUGGGAUUGAAGAGGUGCACGACUUAGAUGUUCUCAGGUUGAUCAGUUGGUUGGUUGAAAUCAUUAUCAUAUAAUAAGUUUUAUAUGCCUUGCUUAUAAAUUAAGUUAUAUGAUGGUCAGCGUUAUGAGCAAGACAUGCAUAUUGGUGUUAGAUGUAAUAUGGUCAUCAGUUUGAUAAUAUUAUUUGGAGUUGUCAUUGUUGUUAUCAUUGUCAUCACCAUCAUCUAAGCCAUUCCCAUCAAAAUGGGUCAGCUAUGGAGCACAACUUCAAAUCAAGAGGGCUCUAUGGAAGGAUUGAGCAGAUCUUCGAGGCCAGAUGGCAACCUAACAUUAACCCUCGAGAACCAAUUCUUGGCUAGUACAACUUUAGGCAAGAGAGGAACUUAAGAUAAAACCUAAAAAGCCAUUCCAAUCUUGUCAUGUAGGUUAUGACAGUGAAUGUGAAAAUUUAUUUUUAACAAGCUUGUAUGUGCUGUUCAAUCAGUUCUCGCACAACUGGACUUGAGUACAGAAGCCAUCCUGUUGGUUCCCUCUAUAUGCUGUUGUUUAUGAGUGUCUAGUCAGUUUUGCUUUUGUAGUAUUGGCAACCUUCUUUUCUAGUGCAUGUGGCAUCCUCUUUAUGUAACCACAAAUAUCUUUUUUGAGCUAAUACAUAGUGCUUUUCCCUCAAAGAAAAAAAAGAAGAAUUAGUAUGUGGUGCACAUGGAUCGUGCUACAAUUUUCUUAUUUUGCAAGGUGUGAUAGAACAAGCUAGUUCUCUGUCAGAUCUGGCUUCUUAUGUUAUAAUGUUGUUUGGCCAAGCCUGGAGUCUUAAUCUUUGCAUUUAUUAAGAGCUUAUUGUAUUAGUCAUACGGGCAGAGCUGUGAUAGACAUUCAUUGAAGUGUAGGGUACCUGGGGCUGCUUAUUUUACUUCCUGCCUGGAAUUCCCCUUUUUACAUCUGCGGAAGUACAAAGAAUCAUAUAUCGGUGGCAAAAAAUCAUUAGUUUUAUUGAUUAAAAUAACCAUAACCAUAACUGUCCAGCCUUUCCCAACUAUUGAGGUUGGUUUUUGGAUCUUCAUGUGCCAAGAAUUCAUCUCUGGUGUCACUUCUAAGAUUCUCCAUGUCUUUCCUCACAACCUCCAUCCAUGUUAUCUUCAGUCUUCGGUUUUCCCUCCAUUCUUGUAACCUUCAACAUAAAUUGAAGUACCUCUCAUUACUGGAGCACCCUCAGAUAUUCAGUGUGUAUGCCCAUACCCAUUGAUGAAUUAUUUGAUAAGUUUUCUUGAUAAGAUCAUCAAAUGGUUGCCUCCCUUAUACGAACAACCCACUGGAUUGCCUAUAAUAUUCUGCAGGUUGAUUGAUUCCCCCACUUGGUACAAUCGCUGUUGAUUACAAUGAACAUCCUUGUUAUAUUAUUUGAAGAAUAACGGAGAGAUUUUUUCUAAGUGAAGCACCUUUGGGAGGAUAGUUCUAGGCCUUUUACUAGCAGCAGUAGAUCUUCUGAUAUCAGUGUUGGCUGAAACUGGUAGGGGUUUCCCUUUUGACUCUUUCGACUGCACAAAGUUCUGGAUUCUGCAAACUUCAUAAAUAUGAUGUGUUAGCGUGCUAUAUAUAUAUUUGGAAAAGAUAAUAUGCAUGCUUAUGUAUGUUUUUAAUUUAUAUUAGAACCAUAACUAUUGCCAUCAACCUUUGUGCAGUUUUGCCAACUAUUUGAGGUCGCCUUUAUGGAUCCUCAUUCACCCAGCGUUUCUAUUAGCGGUAUCCAUGGUUUGUCGUACCGGCCUGAACCGGAUAGUACGGGGCAUACCGUACCGGUUCAGUAUCGGUACCAGGUACGGAUGCAUAGAAAUAUUUAGUACGCCGAAAGGAUCCCAUACCAUACCAUACGGAUAUAGUACUAGUGUGGUACCGGUAUGGAGUCCGGUACCGAGAUGGCGAACUUUGGCAGUACCUAUGCCUAAUAUCCAUGGAUAUCUUAUUGGAUCUAGACAGGUAGUAGUAGAGUCAAUAUGCGAUUUGUCAAAUAUUACUAGGUGAAAACCGAGAAAUUAUAUGUUUCUUAUCAAAUAAUAUUAAUUGUUCGAAAAGAAACACAAAAAUCUGUCAAACAUCCAUGACUAUAAUGCCAAAACACGGCAUAUUUUAAAUAAAAUAAGAAACAGGUCAUAUAGCUUAAUUGGUCCCUUGAAAUUCAAAUUUAUAGAAACCUGUCAAGGCCAUCUAUGUUUCAAAAAUGUCUCUUUACUGUUUCUUAAAAUACAUAUCCGGUUUCUUAUAUGUGCUACAUAAAUGGGUCAUUGAUAGCUAAAGACUACGUGGUCAUACUGGAAUCUUAGAUAUUUUUGUUAGAUUGUUGUUCUUUCCUGUAAAAGCAGGAUUUUUCAUCUACAAGGAUUCAAAAGUUUUCUAUGACACCUUUCUCCUGGAUAGUUUAUGUAGCAGCUGGCAUCUGACAGGUUCUUGAUAAAUUGAUGCAGCUAUAGGUAGGUGUAAGGCCUUUUUUGCCUGCUUGGGGUUGUUUUCCCUACUUACAGUUGACAAAAGUCGGGCUAACCCAUUUUCAAAAUUUGGAAUCUUUUAAAUGAAGUGCUACUAUUACAUUGAGUGUCAUAGCAGGGAGACCUGAAUUUUUCUGUAUGCUAGACUAAACUACAUUAUAUAGAGUCAUUGACUGUUUAUAAUUAUGUUUAGUUUGGGUAUAUAACUUAUGCACUUUUUGGGGACAUGCAGGGAACAAUGAGGGAUCUUUCCAAAAAUCCACCAGCAGCCAUUCCAAAUGCCUUAUCAGAACCAAGAGAAGGGGUAAGCUGUUUAUUGUCGCUGUAAGAAGGCAAAUUUGCAAAUUUACUUCUUUCUGUAAUCCUUUAUCUGUUUGACAUGCUCCCUAUUUUCAGAAUCACUUGUUCUAUAUUCUUGAAUUCGUUUGAUUUUCCUGUUUCAUUUAUCUGAACUGACUUUUUUUCCUCUCCAGAAUCCUGCUGAAUCAGGAGCUGCACAACCCCUUGUGAUCACUGCCAACGGUCAUGACUCAUAAUGGGAGGUCCUGUGCUUUUGGCGUUAGGGAUUCCAAUAGGAAGAGUUGAAUUGUAGUGGGGAACUCAUCCCCCUUAAUAGCUUCUCAAGAGCGUAGAAUAUUAUCAUACAUGUAUGUACAAUAUUAUUAGAGUAUUAGAUAAAGAAUUUUUCUUUCUUUUUGGCAAUCCUUAAGACUGCUACAUUUAUUGCAAUUUAAUCAUCAUGGGAAGAGUCACAGUCGCUCAUCUAAUUUAGUCAAACUGAUAUGCGAAACUUCACCGUGUUCAUCUCUAGUUCAAAACUGAUGUACUGAAUCUGUGAUUUCAUUCAUUAACUUGGCGGAUUGCUAUACUAUUGCCAUAUUUCACAAAGGAUAUUAUGUGGUACCUUGUUUAAUAGGGAAUAAAGCCUCGAAUUUAUUAGCUUGCAUGAUUUUCAGGCUUGCAUCAUCAAGGACUUAUGGAAGUGCCUGAUAAUUUUUUGAAAGGUACAGAUACCAGUCAGUAGAUUUUCUGACUGUAAGUAGUCCAUUGGAAUUUUUCUCAAGAAUCAUUGGCUUAACUGGGCUAGCAAUCUGUUUUCACUUGAAGCAUUUACUUUGGAUCCCUCACCAUUGGUGAUGGCGUUUGUUGCUGAGUGAUUUAAUUCAUUGGAGGUGGAUGACAGCUAACUCUUCAUGCAUGGUAAAUCAUGCUUCAUGUCUGGGACCAAAAACGAAAAGCUGCUUGUCAUGGGUAAAUUUGUGGUUUGGUGAAGCUGAUCUACUAUCGAUAUCUUUCGAGUUAGUGCGAAGGUUGGAAGAUCUUUUGGCUACAUAUGGUAAGAAAACUCAUAACAUGUGAGUUUAGGGUUGUUUUGAGAGAUUGAUAUAGGAUGCUGACAGGAAUGAUGACAUGUACUAUGAACUAUAUUUAUGAUACGAACUUUAUUCAGGCAAAACCUGGACUUUUUUUAAGUUAGAUAUGAAUUGUUUUUAUACAACUCAACGUCAGUUUGAUUAGCAUGUAGACUGUCAAAUAUUUUCUAUUUAAGAGUGAAAUACUUAGGCCCAACCUCAAGCGAACCGUGACUGGUUUAGGACUAAAAGCCUAUGCCUAACUUAUCGGUCAUUGAGUCGCCCUUCCUCUCUGAGUGUUGCUCAGCAAUCUAUCCCAAAUGGUAGGUGGCUUUCUAUGUUUGAGUUCUAAUCCUGAUGGGAUUAAAGUUGGCUCCGAUAACCCAAGUCCGAAUAGCAUCAACAAAAAAAAUAAGGAAUGAAGAGAUGAAAGUUAUGAAAAAGGUAGAGAGAAACUUUGAGCGACACGGUUAGGCCAUAAUGCUUCCAAAUGGCCGCAUAGAAAUUCUUCUAUGAGCUUAUUUCCACCAAAAACAUCGCAUGCGCCCACAUCUAACGUCAAAUACAAGGUGUCGGUUAAAACAGGCGUGAUGUCAGAAGUGGAAGUUGUCCCGUUUCAAGACAUGGCACCGGCCAGUUGAAAAAGUUAAAAGCACCAAACAUUGCCGUUUUAUUCUGAGGUGCUCUUUUGAUGUUAUGAUAGCUAAAAUGACACUUCCAUGCCUGGAAACUAGACUUCAAAACAUGCAAUCAUAUAAAUAUUAAUAUAAUUGCUGUAUAGUCUGCAACCAAUUAAUACAGAGUUAGAUGUAUACAAUCCGAUCCCUCAUGUGCAACGAUUAUUUCAAUAUUGCGAAUGCAUAACACCUAUAUUACAAUAAAGCGAUAUUAUUUUUCCACCAAGAUUCACUCUUAAUGGAGAAGAAGUAUAAAGAAAAGUUCAGAGGGUAGAUAGAAGGAUAUUUGAUAAUAAAAUCAAGACAGAUUUUAGAGCAUCACCCAUGUUUUGGAUUAUAACAGCUACUAUAAUAUUGUAAUAUGUUGCUAAGAAGAGUACUUUUUUAUAUAAAAUAUUACUUUAGAACUUAAAAUUUUGUCCCAUUUUUCUGUUGGGUGGUACUAUGAAUGUUUUGGGAAAAAUUAAGUAUCAAAAAAUAAGAGUGCAAUUUAUUUUUAUUACUGAUUUUUUAUUAAAAAAUAAUUAUAAUAGCCAUUACAAUAACUGUUAUUUGGAUAUUGCAUAAUUUGAUAUGAUUUUUUUAAGCAAAUAAUAAAAAUGAUGCAUGCAUGAUGCGUGGAGAGAUAACAAAAAUUGAAUUAUAAUAUGAUGAUAAUAGAAGAAUAGUAAGAACCUAAAGUAAGAUGAGAAAUAUAUUAUAAGUAAAAUAUAUUUAAUAAUUAUUGAUGAUGUUGCUGUAACAUCUCACUAACAAAAAGAUUAAUAACAAUAGAAAAGAAAAUUUGUUAAACAUAACAUAUGAAUACUUGUAAUAGGAUAGGAAAAAUAUGUGCUUAUAUUAAGAUAUCACAUCUUGUUGAUUUGAUGCAGAAGAUUUCCAUUUAUUCUCUUUUAAACUCUAGCAGAUAUUUUACUAAAAUUUACCAUAAUAGAAAUAAUUGAAGAAGUAAUCAAAAUAAUUAAUAUAAGUUAAUAUUUAAUAAAAGAAUUGUAUAUAAAAAUAAUAAAAAUAAUCAAAGAAAUAAUAUAAAAAACAUAAUACUAAUCUACAGGCAAAGUUUUUUUUUUGUCUCAAUCUCCAUGAUAGUAAAUAUUCGUGUGUGAAGAAGAAUAAAUAAGAUUUAGUGGCUGCCUUGAACGGGCUUGCCAGAUUCAUUUUUCCUUUUUGACAUCAGAACCUGCUCUUGUUACUACAUUAGUCUAUUGUCAUGUACGAAAAAUAUCAAAUACAUUUGAAGGAUUUUGAAGAGUCAUAUUUCAAAAAAAUAUUAGAAUUUGAAGGAUCUUUAUUGUCUAUCCAAAAAGGAAAAAAAUGAUUUUUUCUGCUUUUUUUCGAAUUUUGUGCACAUAUGAAUUUGGAAGAUUUUGAAGAGUUAUAUUUCUUAAAAAAAUUGAGAUUUGAGGGAUGCUCUAUUUCGUGCUCCGACCCACAAUAUAGUCGUCAAGGUCAGCCAUCCUCAUGUCAAUCACUCUCCUUCCUCAUCUUCUACCUCCCAUUCUAGAUCUUCUCCUCCUCCAUCUUUGCUAAUUUCAUCCGCUCUCUCUCCCCCUGCUUCAGUGCCAACUAACAGUAUUUUUUACAUAGAAUCUUUUUUAAUUAUUUAUAAAUAUAUAUUUUUUUUCUGAAUUUUGGAGACGAUUUUUUUCUCUCUCUCCUUCCUGUUUAGGCUGUUGUAAACUGUUAUAACGAUCACCAAGAAUAGAACCAUUCUCCGCUGCUGACGUAACACAUGAUGCCGCCCGGAUUCUAGUAAAGACUGUUCCCUGUCGACGUGUUUUCUACCAAUUGCUGACUGCCACACUGCCACACGACCAAGCGAGGAAUUCAACGGUGUGGAUAGGUUUCCUCGACCCGGGGCCAACGGCAGAUAUCAAUCCCGCAUAGUAAAAUUUAUGCGCGCUCCAGGCCACACCGUUUACCUAUUAAAGGUCGCUGGCGGUGGGGAAGGGCCCGGAGACGACGACCAGAGGGCGUCUCCUCAAGCAACUUCAAAACGAAAAAUCGGGACAAUCGGGGCCGAUCCGUUGCCCUUUUUUCGGUUCUGCCGGAGGAGAAGAGUCCGCGAGGGAGGAGGGGGGGGGGGGGAGGGUUUUUAGGGUUCCGGUUAGCGUUAGGGCUCCGGCGGGCGGGAGGCGAUGGCCCGGGGUCGGUCCUCUUCUUCGAGCCGGUGGCGGUACGUCCACCCCUCGUACUACCUGAAGCGGCCGAAGCGGCUGGCCCUCGUCUUCAUCUCCUUCGUUUUCAUCACCUUCGCCGUCUGGGAUCGGCAAAGCCUAAUACGGGAGCAUGAGGUAGGCCCCGAUCGCGUCCUUCCCUUCUUGUAUUUUUCUCUACGCUAUUCAUGUUUCUUCGAAAUUUCGAUUUGAAGUCGUUGACUUUUUCUUUGGAGUGUCCGAGUGGUAGAUCUGUUCGCCUAUCAGUCAUCCAGUAGUAGAUGCCUAAAAGAUCGUCUCCUUAUUGAUUUUGAUCGUCUUUUCUAUAAUUUUUAAGCAAGAUGUCAGUGACAGAAGAGGCGGAUUAGUUUAAAGCAUGACGAAGGGAUAAUCCCUAAGCGUUGAUUAAAAGACGUUUCUUUUUUGACCAAUAAAUUCGAUCUGUUCAGAGAUGGGAUAAUGAUUCAAAUAAAAGUUGGAUCUUUAGCUAGUUGUUAUGUGUAUAUGAAUGUUGGGAAUUAUCUUUCAAGCGUACUACGUUCGUUUUCUUUAGUUUUGAAAAAUACUAAUUAUCACUUCCACUGAAAUAAUUCAAGGAGAUCAUUGCAAGAUUUAUAUAUGAUAGCAUAUUUCAUGCUUCUCGUGAAAGGAAGUGAUUGUGAAGUUCUUUAAUGCGCAGGAUGAGAUUUCAAAACUGAAAGAAGUAUUGAGCCGAUUGCAAGACCAGGUAUAAAUAUAACUUAUCACACUGUAAGUUUGUUAGCAAUUUGAUUUAUCUGUUUUUUUUCUUGGGCUAUUUCACUUUGAUUAACAAUUGUAAAUGAAGACUGUUUGAACAAAUAAUUGUUGUUGUUAUUGUUUAUACUGUUCUUUUGAGUAUCAAGGCAUUCCAGUUUCACUUGAGACUUUUUGAUUUCCCUAUAGUUGAGGGAAGUAGAUGGGAGUGUGGGAAAUUUUGGUGAACGCUUCAUUAGUGCAAAUGAUAAAGAAAUCAGCAAGGACUUUGUCGACAUUGAUCCUAUCAACAAGGAACGUAGAGAAAAGGUGAAAGAGGCUAUGCUUCAUGCAUGGAAUUCUUAUGAAAAGUAUGCAUGGGGCCAAGAUGAACUCCAGGUUUGCUACAUUAUAAUUUGCUUUUCGUAAAUUUGACUAGUUGAAUCCAAAGAUGCUGUUGGCGUUAUGCAAUCUCUUUCUUUUUUGGGCAGCCACAAUCAAAGAAUGGCGUCAAUAGUUUCGGUGGUCUUGGAGCAACUCUUGUUGACUCUCUUGAUACAUUGUACAUAAUGGGCCUAAAAGAUGAAUUCCAAAGAGCUAGAGAGUGAGUUAUCACCUUGACAUUUCAAAAUAGUCUUUAACACAUUACAUGUGCCCAGACAUUUCCUUUUGUAUGGAAUUUGUUCUUACAUUCUUUCUGAUUUACAACAGGCACAUGCACAAAAAAGUUCUCAUUGCAGUUCUGCUCCACAGCCUUUUCUUGAAUUCAUCUCAGUUUUGUGUGCAUGAUUUCUUGCUAACAAUAUCUGCAAUUAAUACUAUAGUGUAUGAUUAACAUAUAAAUUAAAUCAUUAUUAGUAGGGGAUCACCAUAUAUUUUGGCAGCCUAUGGCUUUUGUAGGCAAUAUGAAAACAUGUCAGAUGGGCUGAUCUCCAAUCUGGAAUACAUGGCCUGACUUGACUAAGGUCAAGUUUCAGAGAGUAGCUUUUGGACCGAUAGCUUGGCCUAGUUUUGUUCCAAUGAGGGAACAUAUUAUAUGUUUAUAUGAACUUUUGCAUCUUAUUGAUUUGUUGCAUGUGCUGAAAACAAUCUUAUGUUGUUUUCUGUUCUUGGUGGACUAGAGGAACUAAGACUUGGGCUAGACAAAACAUUAUGAAUUCCUGCCAAAGUAAUAUGUGGCCUGUAUAUCUACCUUAUAAAUGCACUCAUUUUGUGUCUCUAUUUCUUUAAUGCUUGUUGAUCUCAUUUUCUGUCUCUACUGUGUAGAGAGAUCUAUGAAUCCUGAGGCUCCUAUCUUCCAGUCAACUUUAUGGAUGUCCUGUCUAUACUGUUUUGACAUCCUUUUGCUCUGUCUCAGUAGUCAGUGCCACCUCGAAUCACAUCCCAAGCUCUGAAAAUGUCAAUUUUCUAGAGAAUACAAUUUUAUUUAGAAAAUGGAAAUCGUACUGUGCAUAUAGAGAUUUGCAUGAUCAACACUUCCAAAACUGAAUGUAUCUAGAAUAUAACAUGCUAUGAAACAUUAGCUGGCCUUCAAAUGUGAUGUAAAAUGAUGUAUUCAACUGGUAUUAAUGUGAAAUGGAGGUUAAUGAUAUGACAAACUUGUAGAAUUGAAAUUUUGUUAGUUGUAUCAUCUUCUAGUUACUGACUUUGCUUUACAAUUGACUCAGCUUGAGUAACAAAUGGAGGCUGCAGUGAAUUUAUCUUGCUGUUCUUGGCAGAAAUAGUUCUGUAGCAAUCCCCAAGUUUGAACUUAAUCACAGUAGAAAUAGUUCAGAUCUGUGUAGCUAUGACACUUAGAACCAAGUAGAGGAGAAAAAAGAAAAUAAAAGAGAGUGGAGAAAAGGUGGGAAAUAUGAUGAUUUAGAAGAGAAAAGGAUGUAGAUGAAAAAAAUAGGGCGGUAGAGAAAUCUUGUUUCCCUCUCAUAGCUGUCCUUUUACGCCUUAUAAUUGACUUAACCGGCAACUAAUUAUAUCCCUAAUAGGACUCUCAGAAAAGUAAAUAAAGACAACCAUAACUUCAGAUCUCCAGAGAAAAGGAAAAAAGGAAAUAAAGAGAAAGAAAAGCUAGCAAUAACUUGCUGACAAUAAAUAUAGUCAUAGUCUCUCACUAAAUUAAUUCUAGACUGACUAGAAAAGAGGAACUUACUGGCUGAUUGCUGAGAAUUGCAAGCUGCAACAGAGAUUUCCAUAAGAUCCUGUUUGUUUUAGGCAAGAUAUGAAACAAGGCCAUGCCAGUCGGCAUGGGUUGGCAUGUGGCAUGGCUAAGUGCCAGCUUGUGCGAACCACUGGCACAACAAUGGACAUACCAUGUAAUUGCCAGGUUGGCAGGACAAUGGCAUGAUGCUUUUUGAAAAUUUGAUUUUGGGCUUGAAUUUGGCUGGCUUGUGGGGAUUUAGUAGCCUAUCUACUGUUGCAUUAAGCAGACAACCUUCUGUUUUGGUCCAUAUACCUGCCACUUCUAAAAAAUUUUAAUCAACAUGCGCAUAAUAUUCAUAUACAUUGCCGGAAUAUUUACAUCCAGCAGGGGUGCCAUUGAAAGAACUAAUGCUAUAGUAAGUAACAACUUUCUAUUAUAUUAAAACUAUAUUUCCUUUGUUCAUGCUGAAAAAUACGAUUCCAAUACAUUUUAUCUGACAGUUUGUGAUAAUCAACUUAGACAUUCUUUGUCUCCACAGUGAAUAAAUGGCGUUGCGAACCAUUAACAAGAAUUCCUUCCCCAAAAAAAGAAAAAAAAUCGCAAGAACCAUCCUUCUCACCCCUUACCUCUAAAUUUAGAAAAUUGUGAUGUCUCAGUUCUUGGCCUUUCCCAUCCUACAGGGAAGAUUUGGUUGUUUACUAACUCUAUAGUAAUGCCUGAAGUACAAAAUUGCAUGCAUUGACCCUUCUAUAUUGGUUAAAUAUGUAUUUAUAAAGUACAAAAAAAUAAGAAUACAAGAAUGUGCACACAAAGGGAAGAGUGUGUGUGUGUGAGAGAGAGAGAGAGUCUUGACAUUUUUGCGCAUAACAAUUCUAUUGUAGUCCAACUGGAGCUCAUCCUGUAGAUUUAGACUUUUCAACAAGUGCUGGCCUGAGCCGAGAUUUGGGCUGUUUCUUUUCCACUCAGUUGUAUCACAGGGUGUUAAAGCUUGGCUUGUCCUUGGGGGGUGCUUAUGUGUAAUGAGCCAAAUCUUGAGCUGAGUCAGCCCAAGCUUAUAUAUAAUUAUGUGAAAUGACUGGUUUUCGAGCUUGGCUUAUUUAUGAGCAGGCCUUAGAUGAGUGACUGAGUGCAGCUAGUGUUCCAAAUGAAGGAGCCAGUUAUCAAGCUGAACUGUAACUGUUCAUGAAUGACUAAGCUGAUUUGCAGCCCUACAAAUUGUUAACCCUUUUGGCAGUAAUUCAUAGAAAUUUUUGAGGACUGCGAAGUUUUACCACUCUGUUUCUGCUAGACUUGCUGUAUAGCCCUUAAGUCACUUUACUUCAUUUACUACAUGCAAUUUCUACCACCAUUUCAGCUUUUUCCUUAAAUUUUUUUCCCCAACAUUUUGGGUUCGUAAGUUGUAUAAGAAUGGUUUGUUGUAUAUGAAAAGUGCAACUUUGUUUUGUUGAAACUGCUCCAGAAAGCUUCAUGUCUAUUUGUGUGCAUGAGCUUGUAAGGUGCAGUCAGAUUGGCUCUCUUAAUGAGGAAUAAAACCUGUGGAGCUGUUAAAGAAACAUCCUCUUAGAUGUUUGGAUGCCUGUAUGAUUUGCACUACCAUGCAGCUCAUUAUAACAUGAAAAUAUGAAAAAAUUAAACAUGGCUGUCCUGUCUAUUUGCCCCUAACAUAAUCAUAAUACAUUUGCUGAUAUUUUAUCACUUUUUCAGGAUUUUUUAACAAUAUGCAUUCUAAGUGUCCAUUGACUUUAUAUCAAGUAUACCAUACUUCAAACCAGAGAUUGUGCAUCUUGCUUUAUAAUCAUCUUUGCAGUUUAUGGUGCUUAUCUAAGUUCUCAUUGCUUCUUGAUGGCAGAUGGGUUGCAAACUCUUUGGAUUUCAACAAGGACUACGUAGCAAGUGUCUUUGAGACAACCAUAAGGUGGCGUAAUAAGGUUUAAUUUAAUGAUUCUUCAUCUUCAUUUCAUAAAUAUCUUAGAUAUUAAGUUAUGCUAAAAACUUCUGACAGUUUUCGGUGUUGGGGCUGUCUGUUUCUUAUUUAUGUAUAUUAUAUCAUCAUAUGGUUAGAGAGAGCUUAGCCUACUCAGGUAGUUUUCCUAAAUAUUUUUGUCUGUUUUUGUUAAAUUUCAGAGUUGUUGGUGGACUACUCAGUGCAUAUGAUCUCUCUGGGGAUGAAAUAUUUCUUGAGAAGGCCAAAGACAUUGCUGAUAGGUUGUUACCUGCGUGGAAUACACCCUCAGGGAUCCCUUAUAAUAGAAUCAACUUAGCUCAUGGCAACCCACAUAAUCCUGGAUGGACUGGGGUAAUCUAUGAACAUCCUUGCUUUUUCUUUCUAUUUAUUGUUUCUACUUGCUAUUUACAAGCUCUCUGUUGGGGUAAUUUUACCUUCAGUCCCAUAUACUUUGGUCUAAUUUGAAUAAGUGGUCAUGCGGGUCAUAGGAUUGGUCUGACAUGGGAAUAUUGCUUAAGCUUUGGGCCUAGCUGAGCUAGUUUUUUCUGUUUUUAUUUUCUAAAUACUUUGAGAAUAAAAUCUUCUAGUGUUAUAUAACAAUGUACAUCUGAUAAUGCAUGCUGCUUUUUAGUUAUUGAGCUUUUUGAUUUUGUAGCUUUUAGGGUUGAGUACAAAUUUUCAUCCUUAGAUUUUGUUCUAUAAUCUUGAAUCAAAUGGCUGCUUCUAAUAUUAAAGACAUACAGUUUCCUGCAAGACAGCUUCCCUUAUCGACGGCCAAUUUGAAGUGGAUACUACACGGCUUUGAUAAAACAUCUAUAAUUACCAUUAGCAAAUAACAUUAUCUGCUGCAAAUUUCUGACUACACAUGUGAACCUUGUUUUGUAGCAUGCUUAGCAAAUGAUAGGAGCCCAAAGAUUAUUUCUUGGUUGAAUGUUCGAAAUGAAACUCUUUGUUGUUAUAUUCUAGGUCAUGUCUAUCAACUGUUAAGACAAAACUUCUUCGGUUCUUCCAUUUGUUUUCUUUUUUCCUAGUCAUAAUUGCAUAUUAUAGCCUUCUCUUAUUCAGAUUUGUGACUUUACUAGCUAUUUCCUACUUGAUAAAACUUUGAAUCAUGGUUGUUCAAAUCAUGGCUAUUUCUAAUAUUAAGGGACAUACAGUUUCCUGCAAGAUAGCUUCCCUUGUUGAUGGCCAUUUGAAGUGGAUACUCGAGGGAUUUGAUAAAACAUCCAUGAUUACCAUUAGCAAAGAGCAUCAUCCACUUCAAAUUUCUGAAUACACAUGUGAACCUUGUUUUGGUAGCAUGAUUAGCAUAUGGUAGGCGCCCAGAGAUUAUUUCUUGGUUGAAUGUUCGAAAUGAAACUUUUUUUGUUAUAUUCUAGGCCAUGUCUAUUGACUGUUAAGACAAACUUCUUCCAUUUGUGUUCUCUUUUUCCUGGUUAUGAUUGCAUAUUAUAUCUUUUUUCUUAUUCAGAUUUGUGACUGUACUAGCUAUUUCCUACUUGAUAAAACUUUAAAUCAUGGUUGUUCAAUUGUUCAAAUCAUUCUUUAAGUUUUUAUUGUGCUAGUUCUGUGAAUCAAAUUUUAUUUAAUGUGCCCCCAUCCCUGCAGGGAGACAGUGUCUUGGCAGAUUCUGGCACUGAGCAGCUUGAAUUUAUAGCUCUAUCCCAGAGGACAGGAGACCCUAAAUACCAGCAGAAGGUAUUUUUUUAUGCUCUAGCUGGUUCCAGUAAGUUAUUAUUGCUACUAGAUUUGGAGGCAGACAUGUAUAGCGAUCAAGUCAUAUAUGUGCUGGGUUGCUAUUAUGGCCGCUAGUAUAUUUGACAAUACUUUUCUUGACAUUCCAUUGAUUUGCUGUAGUAGUGCCUCUUCAUGUCCAUAAGUCUGUGACUGCUAGUAAUACUUGUUCUUAACCACAUUAGUGGAGAUCUAUCUUUGUCACCCUGUCCUCACCCUUUUAAAGCAAGAUAACUGAUCCAGUGAUAUGGGCUUUCGAAUCGGGGGACCUUAGGAAAAGAUUUGAAAUUUUGAAUACACAUCUAAAUUGUUUCAUCUGACUAGAGAUUUGCUUCCUUGUGGAAAUUGUCAAAGCAACACUACCUGGAUUAAAAAGAUGCGGCUUCUGAUGAUCUUGAUCAUCUGGGGUGAAGGUUCGAGGUUGAUUUUGCUAAGAGCAAAAAAUAUGUUGUAUAGCCAUAUUUUGGGAAAAUGUCGGGGACUAAAAGAGUAUUAGAAGGGGGUAGGUACUAACAUACUAAUAAAGGUCGGAUUUCAGCUUAAAGAAGAUAGCGCCCGGCUAUGAUUGCUUUGAUGAUAGAUAAAUUUUAUGAAUGCCCGUAUGCUAGAUGCGUAAGCCCCUGUUGGUGUAUCUGGAUUUUUGGGAAUCUGACAUGCCAAAUGCCUGUAUCUGUCAUUACUUGAUGCCUGCGUCCAUGUUGACCCUGUCACAGGUAUCUAUAAUAAUAUCAUGGAUUAUUUUGUUUUAGUUUAUAAACAGGAAAGGCAAUUUUGUAAGAUCUUUGAUGAUCUUAGGAAUCAAAUUGCAUGUUCAGUGUAAGAUGCUUAGAAUUUUCAAAAAGUCUUAUUGACUGUUGGAAUGAGGAGGUAUGGCCCAAAAGUUUCUGUAUUGUGGAACUAUUUUUCUGAUUAUAGGAAAACUAUACCCCCCAUUGACUUUUAGGGGUCUGUAGUGGAGGCACAUCAUGAUAGGGGAAACGGUGCCCUGGAUUCCUGGGUGAAUGUUUAAACUUGCAUUAACCUUAUGCAUGCUAGCUGCUUAAGCCAAUUGCAUUAUGGUUCUUGAUUUGCAUUGGAUCCUCUCUAUGUGAAGUAUAAACAUUAUUUAUACAUAAUUAUGUUUUAGAAUGCUUUGCUAUCAGGGCUCUGCAGAGCCUUGUUUCUAAUAAAUCUGUAUAGUUCUGCGAAGCCAUCUAUCCAACACAUGCUCUUCUAUGAUAAUUUGUGUUGUCUUUUAAUUUAAAGACAUUCAACAAGAUCUCAACAUGUUUUUUGAUCUCUUUAUGAAUAUCAUUGUCAUUUCAGGUGGAGAAUGUAAUCACACAACUUCAGAAGACAUUUCCUGGUGAUGGUUUGCUUCCAAUCUUCAUAAAUCCUCAUUCAGGCGCCGCAUCACACUCAACGAUUACAUUUGGUGCUAUGGGUGAUAGGUAGUCCCAAUUUUUUAACUAUGAUGUGGCCAUGCUUUUCUAUUGAUUUUGUUUCCGGGGGAUGAUUGUGUUUAUAUUUCUGUUAGGUUUCAGAUGAUCUAUCUUCUUUUUUUGUCAAGGUUAUAGUUGGAUGCCUUGUUUUAAUUGUAACUUAUUGUAUAAGCUGUCUGUCAGUGUUGAUCGUUGUAAGAUUGUUAUUGAUUUGAAUAUUUUAACAAAUUGCAGCUUCUAUGAGUAUUUACUUAAAGCCUGGAUACAAAGAAACAAAACUGAAGCUGUGAAGCAUUACAGGUUAGAGCAUAUCAUUAUUUUUCAUCAUCAAUUCUCAUAAUCCCUGUGGUUAGGAAAAUGCAUCGAAAUAUCUGCCUCAUUUUAAUUUUUAAGCCUUGCACGUGAUCCUUGACUGACAUAUAAUGUUAUCCUGCACAUGAUAUUUCUAUUUCUUACAUGACAUUCCUGGAAUUGUAAUGCCUAAUUAACCAAAAUACCAUGUUUUUUUUUAAAUGUUAAAACAGACAAAUGUGGGAAACAUCCAUGGAAGGCUUGUUAAGCUUGAUCCGGAAGACUACUCCAUCUUCUUUCACGUAUAUUUGUGAAAAAAAUGGUGGUUCUCUGUCUGACAAGGUAGCUUUAUUUUGGCCAAACAUAAGCUUUUCCUUCUGACGCAAUUUCAGUAUUUGUAUUUUAAAGUGCUUGAGUUUUCAAUAUUUGCAGAUGGAUGAACUAGCAUGUUUUGCUCCAGGCAUGUUAGCCUUAGGAUCUUCUGGUUAUGGCCCAGAAAAAGCCGAGAAAAUUUUAUCACUUGCCGAAGAGGUAUACUUUUGAUCAUCUUGGUAGCACAAACAUGGACUUUGUUUGAUUACUAACUGUUUUUUACCACCAUAUGGUGUGCAUUUAGUAACUAUACACAAAGGUUCACUUAAAACAACUUCGACGUGUAGGAAUUUAUUUAUUCUACUGAGUUUUUUUUUAAGAUACAAAAGCUCACAGCUUAUCACGUUUAGUGUACAAUCCUUGGGAUAUGUCCUUAUAGAUCAGACCCUUUAAAUCAAUGGCGAGGAAGUCCUCCUAUCAUUGUUCCUACUUGUACCUCUGACUCCACCUUGCCAACCAGUUUGGCACUGUGUUCGCUGUAUUUACUUGGCCUUAACAAUUGUAAAUUGGUUAUGUAGCCAAAAUCUCCUUGAAAACAAAAAGGAACUCCAUUCUGCUGGUUUCACAAUGUUGCCCACAGUAUAAUUAACAUUACAAAGUGAAUCUGACUCAUCGCAUACCUGUUUCAUGUCUUGUUGAAGAGUCAUAAACUGAUCUUUGUGGCUUUAUUUAUAAUCUAAAACUCCAUUUUGUGUACGUCUUGUAUCUGAUUGAUUAGAUUAGGUCUAAAUUAGCCUUUCCAGUUUCCACAUCACCUCCCAAUGAAACUCCCAACCUAGCUUCUCCUUUUAGUGCAGUUUUAGCUGUGUCAAUAUUCAUUUUGGACCACCCUUAUCAGGUCAAAUUCAGUUUUGAAUUUAUAUGUUCUCUUAUUGUGCACAUUGCUUUUCAUAACACUUUUUAGAGAAGAUAAAUACUCCUUUGUGAUAAAACAAUUGAAAGAUGCCAAUCCUUCUCUAUAUUUGUUAUUUGCCUUGAAAAUCUACUGAUUUAUAUACCAACUCAUCCAUACCUUAUAACAAGGUUAGCCAAACCGGUAUUGGAUGGUGUACUGGCAAGCGACUAGUUUGGCACGGUACAGAUUCGUACGGUGUUGUUCUAGGAGAGUUGGACAGGGAGUGUUGUUCUAGGAGAGUUGGACAGGGAGGGGGAGAGGGAGGAAGAGAGAGAGAGGAAUAGAAAAAAAGGGUGAGGGAGGAAGAGAGGGAGAGAGAGAAAGGCCAAGAGAUAGGGAGAGAGAUGGAGGGCCGUUGUUCAUCGCGCGGGGCGGGGGGGGGACGGGGAGAGAGAGGANNNNNNNNNNGGGACGGGGAGAGAGAGGACUUUCCUAGGGGACCUUGUCAUCGGUAUCAUCGAGCCAGCCGGGGUUGGAGAUCCAGGAUUUCCAAACAUGGAGAGUCAAAGGAAGAACGUGGGGUGAGGGCACUUUAUAUUGAACCGAUAUGUUGAACCAUGUUGGUAGCCAACCAGUCCGGUUUGGUACGUCUUGAAUCGGCCUAUUCAGCAUGGUUCAGCUAACUCUGCCUUAUAAUAACCUUUUUUCUUGAGAUUUCCACCCUAUUUUCGCCAUUUAUCAGCAUUUUGAGAAAUUCUUGUAUGUAGCUUUUUAUUGUUUCUAGAAUAUAUGUACCUAUCUCCCCCUAUACUUUCUAAGGAUUAGGUAGGUUUUCACAAUCUUCAUCCUCUAAAUUAGUGUACCAAGUGAACAGCAAGCAGAUAUAACUAGAAAUGUUAGAAGUGAUUGUAUUGAAACUAAGUAACCAAAAUCUUCUCCUUAGGUGCUUUGCCUUGUUUGGAAUCUGCUUCUGACACACACUCUCUCUCUAACAAUCUUAUCCUACUCUCACCCUUGCUUCAGAUGCCUCCAUUCUUCUUGUUCAUAAAGAAUCAUUGAUUCUUGUUAUAUAUUUCUAUAAUGAACCCUAAUUCUCUACUAGCAUUAUCUUGAAUCUGCAUAUUAUGAACUUAUUUAAGUUGCGACAUGAAAUGGCUCAAGAUUGAAAAUCUUAGAAGUUUACUUUCAUUUUAGAUAGAUGCUUGCUAGUCGAUUUCUCUUAAUUUAUUUUGAUCCUAUACUUUUGCACCCCUUCACUGGUAUCUACCUUAAUUCUAACUCUUGAUUCAAGCAAUGAAGGAUUUAGUACUCGAUUUGCAUGGUCUUAUAAACAUUAUCUGCAGAGUCUUGAAUGCCUUUUGACAAUUGCAGAAGUCCAUAUAUGCAGCUGUCUCAUCCACACUGCUUUACUCCUUUUGUGAUGUCCGCAUGUCUCUGCAUCUUGUUAUGCUGUUACUGCAGUUUCAAUCUAGUUUAUUGGCUUGACUAUUUCGUUAAUUAGAGGGUUGCUCAUGCAGCUUGCUUGGACUUGUUAUAAUUUCUACCAAUCAACUCCAACAAAGUUAGCAGGAGAAAACUAUUAUUUUCGUAAUGGAGCGGUCAGACAAUUUUAUGCCCUUAAAUAUUUUCUUUUAUAUAGUAGAAUCAUGAUAGGAUGCUUUUUUUUAAUAAUAUUGGUACAUCGUUACAGGACAUGAGUGUUGGCACAUCAUGGAACAUACUGAGACCAGAGACUGUUGAGUCACUUGUGUACCUCUGGCGUUUCACUGGGAACAAAACAUACCAAGAUUGGGGCUGGAACAUAUUCCAGGCAUUUGAAAAGAACUCUCGCACAGAUUCUGGUUAUGUCGGACUGAGGGACGUAAGUAAUCAUCCUAUCAUUGGCCAUAAAUUCUACCUGCUUUCAUAUUGGAUGUGGCAUGGUUUAUCAUAAAGAAAUGUGCUCUUUUUGGAUGGUACUCACCCAUACUGAGUGGCCGCUCAACAUGAAUUUUGACCUAGUGAAUUACUUGUCUAUUUUUAUUAGUCUAUAUGUCCAGCAGCUGAGUUUUAUCUAUAUGCCUGACACUUGCUAUGCUUCCUUAUAACUUCAUAAAUGUGGACACUAUUUUUUAAAACUUUAAAAUGAUUUCAGUGGUUUAUACUCAUCCCAUGAAAUGAUUGGUUUGCACCUUGGAGGAACUUAAUCCAAUUGAGUUGAUGGCCAGAAAUUAGUCCGGACGCACAUCCAGCUUCCUGUAUAAAUCAAGCACCACUAAGUGCAUUCCAGACCUGUAACUGUGUUGCAGAGUUUGCCUAUUUCAAACCGUCAGGAUGAGUCUGAUGGACUUUAUGAGCUGUGUGCUUGCAUAUAGUUACCCAGCCUGAUUACUUAAAUGUAUGGAUCAGCCGAGCUUACUUAUAAGCAAUCACGAUGGGUACUUAUCCGGUUAUCUAACUUAGGGUUUUAUCUAGUUACCUAGCUAAGUCUGCUACUAUAUCAACCCAGAACAUCCCCGGAGAGGGUGAAUCUCUUUUGAGAUUUGUGGAGCUAGGGUCUGCGUGUUAAUUGGGGCCAAAAAAAAAAUUUUAAUUUUGCCCUUUGUGAUUCCUACAAAAAGGGAUAACAGCCUUUUCAAGGACCUUUUGGGGACACAACAUUUUCUUCUAAUUACAUCUGGAUGGAUGGCAGAUUUUAUGGUGUAUCGGAUGUGUAGACCUUGUACUUAGCUUGAUUGCUUCAUGCGAUCUGGAGACCAGGCCAUCAUCAUGUGGACUCGUCUCUCAUUCAACCUACUUGGCAUCCCCUGGCUUAUGAGACCUGUAUUUUCCAGUUUAAUGCUGGCGAUCAUAUGACUGUCACCUGUAUCCAAUCAGCUAGCAUGGACAUAGUGUUAUCUAAAUAAACCUGUACCCUCUGAAACUACAUAGCAUAUGCUCCAGACGUGAUGUUGACUUGUUUGUUCUACAUAAUUCCUAUUACUGGGACCACUGGAUGCUGUGUAAUCUUUUGCUUUUGGCUGUGCGCUUUUCAGUUUGAUUUCAUUGUAUAUUUUUUAAGUUUAGAUAUGUUGAUACCUCACUAUAUAAGCCCCCUUCUGUGAAAAUAUAAGUUUUUUUUUCUUUUUUGAUGAAGUAUAUAUUAGUAAGUAUUAGUAAGCGGGCCCACACCCGGACUCUGACUUCAAUGGCUCACUCCCAUAAUAGUUACUUCUAUCAGAUGAUUCUUCUUCCUCAGUGAAAUGAGCAGUUAAAAAGCAUUAAGCAGAGAUGGAAGGUAUCCAGCCUAGUUUUAUUCUAUUUAUUUUAGUUUGGUAUAUUGAGGAAAUAUCUACUGGUUUUUUCUCAUGAUCAUGAUUUACCAAGGUGUGACCUUGACCAUUUCAAUUGACUGGCUGGAUCUGAUUUUCUAAGGUGAAUUAUAAUUUUCCGGUAUUAUAUUGCAUUAUUUUCUGUUAUGUUCCUGGAGCGAUAAUGCUGAAAAGGAAAGCGACCUUGGAGUGAGCAAAACCUAGGAAAGUGGAUAUUCCUUUUCUUGGCACAUCACUGUGGAUGUUGGUGAAUCCAAGUGGGGCUCCUUUUUUUUUGAGGUAAGUGUUUGAUGGCUAGGUUUUUCGAGUCAGGUCUGGAGCAAAUUACUUAGAUUGUCCCCAUUGUAGAAGACGAGAUCAAAGGUUGGAUAAUUUCAAUGUGUAUUCCAGGGUUUAAGGUUGCUAGGUGAUAUUAAAUAUUGGAGGUUUCAGGUUUGUGUGGAUGUCCUGGAAACUGCUUGUCAAGAUGUAUUCUUCCUGCUAAUGAGAGGUUCCAUGGUUGCUGUGGGCUGAAAAGUAAUGGUGCUUGUCUUUUAGAAUUAAUGUGAUGAAUUGGAGAUUGAGGAGCAUUGUUGCUGUUUGUGCUCUUACAAGCCUACCGCAUGUUUACUUACGAGAAUGAGUAAAAAUGGCGGAGGUGUGAAGCUAAAGGAUGAUCUCCUAAAGUAACCUCGAGGAUGAGGUUUAAAUUGUGAUAUUUAGAUGCUGGCUUAAUGUCCACUGGUUUUUCUUGAUGAAAUCCUGGUGUUUGUCUCACUUCUCAUACAUAGGAAGGUCCUCACUUGUGACAAUCUGAUUAAAAGAGGGAAGGAGGUUGAUAGCACUUGCAGAUUAUUUUAGGAUUAAGCAGCAUUUCACUGAUCCCUGUACUUUCAAUUGAAACAUGGAAGAGAAUUGGACCUACUCUGGCACUCCUUGAUCUUGUCAUGACUCCCUUGAAAGCUGCUGAAGGUGUGGCAGUAGGGGAGACCAAAUAAGAUGCCUGAUCCCUGUCACUAUUUGAUGGUUGAUUUGUCAAAAGCGCAGACUUAAGUCUCUCAGGGAAAGUCAGAAUGGGGUGGAGCUAGUGGCUUAUUAUAUUUUAUUUUAUUUUUGUCUCAUCGCUUGCAUUUGGUAGAGAGUGACUGGUGCAUCAUAAGCAUAUUUUUUUUUUUCAUGCUUCAUUUUUAUAAGUUCUUGCUUUAAGAGCACCCUUGUAUCAUAUUGCCGUCCUCAUUCAUCUUAUUAAUCUAAUUUUGCUGCUGCUUAAGAAAAACUUUAACACCAAAAAAAAAAAUACAUGACCAAAAUUUACUGAGAUUACUACUCAAUUUUCCUAACUGCAACAAGUACUGAAAGAGAUAAGUUCAAGUUUUUGCAUCGAAUUAGAUAGUUUCUGAUAUUGGUGUCUUUCAGGUUAAUACAGGUGCAAAGGACAACAUGAUGCAGAGCUUCUUCCUUGCAGAGACACUCAAGUAUCUCUAUCUCCUGUUCUCUCCUCCAUCAUUAAUCUCCUUUGAUGAAUGGGUUUUCAACACAGAAGCCCAUCCUCUGAGGAUCAUCCCGCGAAAUGAUAAAGAAGAGAGCCUCAGAGCAGAUGGAAAAGCAAAUUCAAGACCCAAUCCAUUUGGCAGAAAGCAUGGAAGAACUGGAUAUAAUUGAGCAUUUUCAUCUAGAAUUUUGAGGGGCACCCUUCAUUUUAGCUUGUUUUUGUCCCCUUGAUGGGUGGUUUUCGAGCUGACAAAGACCAUAACCUCGGGAAGACAAACUAGCUGGUGAAUGAGGGGCUACGGGACAUGGUAACUAUAUAGUUAUAUUUACUGUAAGAGGAUGGCAUCAUGCUCGAUGACUAGAUAUCAAGCUUAUAGUCCAACUUCAUUUGAAGGAGAUAAGUGAAUCUUCUGAUGCAAGGUUUAGGUCAAGCAUUAGAUUCUUCUAUGCUUAUCGUUUAUAUAUUCCAUGUUGUCAUUCAGAGACAUAAAAAUCAAACAAAAUACGAGAAUAAUUAAGCUCGAAAUUUACAUUUGAAUGCAUUUCGUUUCAGGUUAUUAGCUGACUUGGGAAAAUGCUUUUCGGUUGCUUGGUUCCUAUUGGUUCUAUCUUGAUCUGUAUAAUAUUUUGCCAGGUGCAUCCUAUUUCAUUUGAUAAGAGAGAAGACCUACAAUUCAAUCGAAAGGGAGUCGGUAGUUUCCCUAGAGAAAAGCAAGAAAUUGUGAGCUUAUGUUUCAGCGUAGAGCCUUGUAAAUCUCAAUUAAGGGAAGCCUCAUUUGGAGUAAUCCAAGUUCUAGUGAUGGUUUAAUUUAAAGUUGGGCAAAGGAAGGUUUAAUGUAAAGUGCCAUCCGGUACUUUCAAAUAAAUGGGUAUGUUACUAUAAAGUGGUAGAGGCUGGUGGGGUUAAUAAAGAAGAUUCUUAUACCCCGUGAUGAAGAAUCCUUCUAAAAUGUGAAUCUUUAAAAGAAAAAAGAAAAGUAAGAACGAAAAAAGGACAACCUCCUAUCAGAUGGCCUUGUGACUCUUAUCAACGAAUACAGUCCGUGCGCAUUCGUUGCUACUUGCUUAUAGUCUAUUCUAUUUGUGACUCCAUUUUCUGUAAAGGCAAGGCAUGCUCAUGCUCAUCUGCACACCUUGUCUUGAACCGAAGCGCAGAGUUCAUGUCUUUGAUGGAAGAUUUUUUUUUUUCCAAUUUUUUUCCAACAGAGAAUCCAUGUAGAGAGGGGGAGCUUGACAAGGCGAGCUCAGAGAUUCUAGGGGUCUGGAUUUCAUCUUCUUGGCAUUUUGCUCCAUCCUUGGUGAGCUGAUGUUCCCAUGCUGUUAUACAUACACUGGUUGCAGUGUCUUCUUCCGCACAUGCUUCCCAUGACAAUCUCCAGAUUAUUUAAAAAAUGAUUCUUGAAUAUAUUCUCAUUGCUUUUAACCUGGUAAUUGAUUUUAUUAGUCAUUCUUGGGUAAUUUAAUUGAUAUAGAAUUAUUCAAUUAUUUGUGAUUUCUGUGGUUCGGUGAGGGCACUAAGAUGAGCACCGUCUUUCUCAUACUGAUUACUGCUCCCUCCACCGGAUAUUUGCCGUCCGAUGAGCUCCGUCACCACCAGGCUUAUCUCUUAAAAGAAUGCAAGAUAGUUUCGCCUCAUCUUUUGCAAACCUUGCUGGAUUGAUGCACCGGUGGCAUAUCUUUUAAAAGAAUGCAAGCCAACUAACUCUAAAUGAUCGACUGAUCGUAUCUUGAGCGAUAUAUCCUUGGAAACUCGGCAGAGAUAAUUUUAUAUAAAUGAGAUUUUUGUCCUGAGCGAAUAAAACAAGAGAUUUUAAGUGAACGUGCAUGUUACUCUAAUGUAAAGUUAUCUUUUAGACUAAAUUAUGAAACAAAAAUGCGCUAUUGUGAGCAAUUUUAGGUAAUCUUAUGGAAAUUAAAUUGUGAACUCAAAAAGAAUAGGCUAUUAGAGAGCUGGCACAAGAGUGGUAGUGAUACCCAAGCAUUCCUUGACAACAGUUCUGCCAAGAGUUCAAUAUGGCUUCCCAAUCUUCUGCUCCCAAGGUCCCAACAGGCGCAAGGAUAAGUUCAUGAAUAAAGUCGCUUUCAGAGUUUCAGUUUGACCCAUUCUGAAUUGAAAAAUCGAAGCCAGACGUAUUUUUUACCAACGAAGAUGGAUGGACGCCAUGUAUCUAGCUAGAAAAUCACAUUUUGCCUUAAAAACUCCUUUCCUUACAGCAUUGGUGUCAUAGUUUUAGAAGCAGCUCAAAGUGUAUUCACCAAUAUGCUUCCCAGUUCUCAGUACUACUCUUAGAGCCAAUAUGCCGAUUCUCACUGUUAUUCAUGAUUUCAAUCACAAAGCAAUACACUAGCUGGACAUAAGGUGUAGAAAAACUAUAUCAACUGCCGUAAACAUGACCAUCCAAUUUUGCAGCCAACUAAAUUCAUAAUAAGCAUAACUUCGGAUGCAACAGAAAAUAUCCCAUGAAUAACAAAAAUAAGGAAAGCAUCAGUAAUUAAAGCAUGUCCAACGCUAGAUUCAAAACACCAAAAUUGCAGAGCUUUCAUGUUUGUCCAGUUCCCAGUUGUCCAAUUCCUACUAAAAGCUGGAUCUAAGGAUCCAGUGAUUUCUUCCUCCCACAAGACAUUUAAAACAACCUCAGAUAUCUAGUUCAUCCUUCUGAUGAGCUCAUUGAUGUAAUCCUCGCGGUUUCCAGCAUCCCCUCCUUCAACAUAGUGCUUCCUCUUCUUCUUCAGGCCACCCAAGGGUGCCUUAAGCUUGAAUGGCCACAGGAAGUUGUUUGCCUCCUUGAAGUGUGGCCCAACAGUCAUGAUCUCAUGAACAAGGUCUUCGAUGCAAAUAAUGCCAUACUUCCCCAAGGCCUGACAAUUAAACAAUAACAUCACAUAAAUAAAACCACUAAUAGCACAUAAAAAUAAACACCACAAGUAUCCUAACAAACCUGUUCAAUGAUUGAAUUGUCCGAGAGGGGAAUCCUUUGCUUGUUCAACUUCCCAUAUCCUCUCUUGUAGAUUAACUCCCUGACACUCUUCAAGUUAGGGUACCUAAAAGAUUAAUUCCCACUAAGUGAAAACAAUCUCCACAAGAUUAACAACAACAAUUAAAAUUAGACAAAAAAAGAAGAAGAAAGGAUUCGAUACCCAUAUGUGACAUAAGGCUCGACCCUGCGCAGCAUGUUGAUGGUGGCCUUGUUAACUUUAAGGAACACUCCAUUAAAUAUCUGCAGCAAAAUUAGCAUCACUGAGGUCAAAGGAAUAUUUAAAACAUAACAUAAAUUUAAUGAUCAUCUUCCAUGAAACAGUGAUGCCAUUACCUGUCUGAGACGAAGGAGCUGCAAAAUCUUUCGGGUUUUCGGGUCAAUGGCGUUAAUACUGUAUGAAUGAGAUUAAGAAGGGAAAAAAGAAACACCAAACCAUGAUCGGUUACUGCUAAGCGUAGCUAAAAAAUCUGGUGCACAACAAAAUAACAAUUCGAUGAUGGAAAAUGGAAUGCAUACACUUAGGAAAAACAGAAAAAAAAAUUCCCUUGAAUGGUUACUAAGAAACAAAGCUAAUGUAUCUCUAGUCCAAUACCGGCAAUAACUUAUAAAAUGUCGAAUAUAUUGAUCGAUGAUUAAAUGAGAAGAAAAUAGCUUACCCUCGGAUUCGUAUGAUAAAGAGCAGCUUGGAUUCGGGGCUAACAUAAAAUCCUCCCUUCAUCCUCGCCUCUCUCUUCAAACGGAUCAGCUCCUUCUCCUGCCAAACCAGAACCAGUUCCCAUAUUAUAUACAAAUCAAAUUCUUUUAAGGAUCUCUAAAACAAUGGCUUGAGGUACUGAUUCCAAAGAAUACCCGGGUCUCGUACUCCUUGGCAUAUUGCUGGGCUCUGUUAAAGAUGAGCUUCCGGUUCUCACGGUCCUUCUUCUUCUGGGCCUCGAGCGCCUUCUUCUUCGCUAGCGCCCAUUCCUCCUCCCUCUUCCUCUUCUUCAGCACCGAUUCGGGGAUCACCGCCUUCGCUUCCUCCGUUGCCAUCUCUCUCUCUCCCUCUCUCUGCAAAGCCCGAUCACAAGAACCCAAAUCAGCGAAUCUCUAGACUGCAAUCAAAACCCUAGAUACGAAAUCGCUGCUCCCCGUGGCUCCCAAAACCCUAGAUUCGGAUAUAUUGAAACGAUCGCCGCUGUAGGGGGAGAUCGGAAAGCGAACCCGGAUGGAAACCCUAGAAUGGAAGAGGGGUUUGUUCUCCUCUGGGCGCUUACCUUUGGAGCUCUUGGAUCUACGAAUGGUUGUAGCGCGAGGAGGCGGGGGGGCACGCGGCUCGGCUCUAGGUUUUCAAGGGUUUUGUUCUCGAAGUUAGGGUAUGGAUGAGCGAAAGGGGUCGAGCAUCCAACGGUUGGUGCUUGGAGAAAGCUCCCAGAAGAAUCUGGUCCGUCCAUUAAGGCGCUGAUAUAAUGUUCUGUCGAGCCAGCGUAAGAAAGUGUAUUCCGCGGCACGGUUACGAGCUCUAGCCGUGGCAACCUGAUCCAAGAUUCCAAUGGUUCGGUUAUCCGGGUGCCAGCUUUUUUUUUUGUUGUCGUGGCGGUCUUCUUCNNNNNNNNNNAUAGUUGGUGGGCUGUUUAAACUGCUCUCAUAUGAGUACGACCAGCUACAUUACUAUCAAGAAUGCUACAGUCCGGAUGCCAGAUGUUAUUUUAUGAGAUUUUUGCUUUGUUCGUUCAGCAUUUUUUUUAUUAUUGUUGAAAAUUUUAUAUAUUGUCUCUUAUGGCUAUAUUUAUAUGCGAUAUGUAUAGUAUAUUUAUACUAAUAUAUAUAUAUAUAUAUAUAUAUCAUUUUAUAUCUAUUUUUUAUUAGUAUUUAAUUUUUAGUCCUGCAUAUAUUUAUAUAAAACUUGUACGUACACUUAUACUGGUUCUUGCUCGUUCUUAGAUUAUCCCUGUACAAGGUUAUAUAUAUUGUCCUCACACAAACUUGUAGCUGAGUACACACAUUAAUUUGAUGUUUUCUCACAACCUAUGUUAAAUGCAUGCUGGUCAUGUUGAAAUGAGGAUUUGAUAUCCAUCAUGUAUUCUGAUUUUCUUGUUGCAACCAAAUAUAUUUAGUGCCGGACAUACUUGUUGAGCAUAUAGUACAAUUUAUGAACUAGAUCAUGUUUGUUCACAAAUCAAGAGUUCUUAAAAUUUCACAAUAUAUUCUUUUUUAAAAUAUAUAUUUUAAAAAAGAAUAACUUUAAGCCCGAUCCACUUAAGAUCUUUUAUGUCUCCUCUUGGUAUCUCCAUCUCUCCUGUCUUCAACUCAUACUUGAUAUGAAAAAAGAGGGAGAGAUGAGGGGCAUCAAACUAAAGACAAGCGAGGGAUUAGAAUUGGGCUUUUUAUUGUUUUAAUGAUUAAAAUUAUAUUUAUAUAUUUUCAACUUUUUAUCAGUGGUGUGCAAGUGCUAUAUAUCAUUGUUGCUGCAUGAAUUUUUUUUUCUUGAUUGUGCAUGAACAGAGUUCAGAGUCAAACAAACGCUACGAUAGAAGCAUCGGCCAUCACCAAUCGAACAAUAGCUGAUGGAGACUCAUCCGUUUUAGUUGUCCACCUCUAAGUUGUAGUAGCCUCUUUCGUGAUUAGCCUUCCUAAAAAUGUGGUGGCAAGAGAAGCUCUGGAGUCUGAAGAUGUUCUAUUCCUGCCUUCAAUCUGAGCAGGAAUUGAACUAGCUAGCUUGAAGUGGACAAGAACCAGCUAGAAGAAUCCUUCCCAAACUGUUGUGAAUAACAAAUCCUCCACCUGCACGGCUCUGAUUGAAAGAGCCAUCAAAGCUAAUUUUAAUGAAAGCCGGUCAUGGAAGUUGGCGAUGAACAAGAAUUUGUUGACAAGAUUCCACAAAGUCCUGCAGUAUAAGACAACCAUUCAUAGAGCUUUUCUAUCAUUCAUAAAGCUGAACCGUUCACUAACCAUUCAGUAUGUAGUAAUAAGAAACUCCACAGGCCCUCUAUCUUGGUCUUGAAACAAGAACUCAUUCCUGCGCCUCCACACAAUCCAUAAAAGAUGGGCUAAAUAAGACUGUCACCACUGAUUCUCUUCAGAAUCUGCUUUGGAUAGAAUGAAGUGAAGAACUUGGUUAGUAGAGAGAAACAGAGGUCCCAGCAAAAAAGAAGAAGAAGAGAGAAACAGAGGUCUUUCAAAUUGCUGAGUUGUUAUCCAGUGCAUUGGAAGAAGAUGUGAUCAAUCAUUUCCAGAUCCCUCUCAUGUCUGCCUACCGUAGAUAGGUGAGAUAGUCUGAAUAGUACCAAAUAGUACCCAAGGCAGGGACGCGCAGAGAGCCCAGAUAGCGGGUGCGCUCGCUCAACGCUCCAGAUUAAAAGUUCUCUGUGCAUUUAACGCUCCAGAUCAAAUUAGAUAUCGCGUAACGCGUAAGCGCCGGGGCCUUUUUAACGGCUACUUCGCACUCUGUUUAAAUAGCUGCAGCUCUCCGUUCCCUAGGAAAUCCAAAGUCGAUUCAUGGUCGCGGAGAUCGGUCGGUAAAGAAGGGUCUCCUUUUUUCUCUUUUCCUCCUCCUCCUUUGUCUUCUCCUAUUCCUAUUCCGCGUUUUCUUUCCCUCGAUUCAAAAAGUCUCCCAACCCUAGGUCUCCGGUUGGUAAUCUUUUUCAAGAUCAUGAUACCCUUCUUCUCUUUCUUCGUCUUCUCGUCAUGAUUCUUCCAGAUGGGCAAUGUCCGUUAUCUUAUGCUUCUCCCUCUCUUCCAUCCCCCUUUCUUCUUUUCUAAGGGGUUUCUUGCUUCUUUUCUGUUUUUUUUUUGGUGCCGUGGGGUCUCCAAGAAGAGGCUGUGAUGAUUCCUGGACGAGGGUUUGCUGCGUUCUGAAGCAGAAGACUUCUAUUUCUAAUGGCAAGGCAGUCUUGGAUGGUCUGCUGCUGUACUGCAGGCAGCCGCUUGCUGCCGUCUUGAUUUCGUUGCGGAAGGUCUUGAGACUAAGAACACGGUGCUGUAAUAAAUGGUGAAUUUGAGCUUCCUUUUCCUCUUCCCUUCUUGGCUUUUCUAAGUUGCGUUCUUUUUCAAGAUUUUGUUUUUAAGGUCUCUUUAAUUUCUUUUGCUGUUAUUUAUUUCAUGUGUUGAGUUGCUUCUGCGGUUCCUCAAGAAUUCAUAGGUUAUGGAGGUCAAUGGAAGAUACGCGGUAGGGAUUUCGUCCACAGCAUCCGGGGAUUUGAGAACCCAGCUUUUCAAGUUUUCUUAUUUUAGGCACGGAAAAUUAGCGAUUGUUUCCUUAGUAUCAAGGUUUAUGACAUUUUCAAAUGUUUUGAAUCUACUCCCGUCCAACAACAAGUUCUUCAUGUUCUCCACUCAUCUUUUUUAUUUGAACUUGUUAGUUUGUUUUUAGUUUAGUUAUCUUUCUCACGUAAUGAAGGUGUUGGUCUUGCAUGGAUUCCCUUUUCCUCCAUUACUCUUUACUCUUUUUCCUUGUUUUUUUCUUUGAGCAAUAAUAUGACAAAAGAGAACUUGAAUGAGCUCCCACACUAUCCUCGAGACCAAAUUCUAUGUUGUUAUACCAUCCUGACGCUGCUUUGCUUAGAUGCCUUUUUUAUGCUUCAGAGUCCUGGAUCGUAUUCCCUGUUGCUACCAAGUGGUGUAUCAAUGGCUACUGCAAUACUUUCUAUAGAAUUUGUUAAAUCUGGCACAUACUCUGCCCACUACAGCCAUCCAUGAAAUACUUCUUUUAUUUAAACAUAUUAGUAUUGCUUUUCUGCAGGAAUUGUUCACUUGACUAAUUCCUUGCUACAUAUUCUUCAUGCUGUUUCAAACAAAAUGAACUUCUUUACUCUUGAGUUUGCGAAUUCAUACUUUUCCUAUAUUUCAUAACAUCACUUGCUGAAUAUUUGGGGAAAAAAGUGGAAAUAGAAUGUGAAAAAUUGUACUCUUUGCAAUUUGGAAGAUCUAUUGUUCUGCAGGCUAUUGCUGCAGCCUAUUGGAAACUGCACAAUAUUUCCAGUAAAUGGGGCCAAAGUUUCGUUUCCUCCUAGUGAACUCCACAUGCCAUUCCUCUCGAUACCUUUCUAUUGCUUUUCUUUAUUUGUUAAAUAUGAUAAUUAUUUUUUUUUUCUACAACUUAUGAAUUUCUAAAUGUCAAGGCCAUUUCCUCUGGCAGCUUAUAUAAAUAUAUAUUCUGUGAUGGUCAUGAUGGUAGUCCUGUGAAAGCUGCAUCCUUUCCUAAAACAGUGGUUCUGUUAUUAAUUACAAAUGGUUGCUUCUUUGUGUUGGAGGCCGAUGAUGGUAUAUACAUCCUUUUUUUCCUGUAUUUUUCUUUCUUUCAUAUGAAAAAUCUCCGAUGAGUUGCCCAGGAGGUGGAGGCUUGCUGGUUUCUUAUGAUUAAUGAUCCUUGAUCAACUUCUGUUAUCAUUUUCCCCCAGAUUGCUGGGGCGAUAAUGAAAUUUUGUGAGGGUGAUUUGCCCUAUAGAAGCAUAAUUUGUUUGUAAUAUUCCCCAUCAAGGCCAAGACUCGAGCAAUAACUUAUACAAGUUGUAAUUUAAGGAACCCAGAUCUGUUUAUCCAUUAGAACUUAUGGCUAAAAGAAAUCAUACAUGACAAUAUCCCUGAUCUAGCACUAAUUCUACCAUGUCAUAGUAACUUAAAUUGCCUAUACUUCUUAUACUUCCAAAAGAUGUCAUCUCUUAUUUAGGCACUGCAAUGUCAUGCAUGAUAAAGCUGAAGAGAACAUUUAUCUUUUAGGUUACGAUCCUUAAAAAUUAUGACUGUGUUUAGAUAUGCCAUUAAGAAAGCUUUCAAAAUUAACUGCUAUACCAAAAAUCUUGUCUAAUAUUAUGGUUACUUCACAACAACCAGAUGUAAUGGCUAUUGAGUUUAACUUAGUUACUAAAGGAUCUAUUAGUCGAAAUGUUGGACUUUUUUCCCAAUUAUAUUGCAGAUUUUAGCAAAAACAUCAUAAUUGAUGGAGCAUGGGAGUGACAAAACUGCUAAAUUAUGAUGAUACGCGUCAAAGAUUUUUUUUAGAUUUAGAAGUCCAGUGCAUGACCUUUGGAUGAUGAAAACCCAUGAGCACGUAUGUGGGUAUACGACUUGGAUGCUUCUUUCACAAUUUUAUAGAAUGUUUUCAGACCUUUAGGAAAUGAGGACACUAAGAAUUGCUGAUAGUUAAUGUUAUUGAAGACUAAUUUAUGAAAAAUACCAUUUGGGGUUAGUUUGAAUUUUGAACACUGGCUUUAGACAGUCUUGAUGAAAAGAGGGUCUCUUAGAUUUAGGUUGAAGGAUAAAAGGUGAUCAGAGAAAAGUCAGAAGGGAUUUAAGCACAGAUUUUUGGAGGACUUAGCUUUGUUUAGGAGCCAACAAAAUUAUCUCCGACAAAGGCUAAUUAGCCCACUAUAUUCUUACAUCAUUGUUAAGGCUAGAAAAGUUAUUUAGGAAGCUUUUAGUAGCUGCUAACUACUGUUGGAAUUGAUAUCAUGUGGGGUUUAUAAAUGGCUAUUAUCUCAGAGGAUACUGGUGAAGAAACGCCUUUACAAGUUUGUUUCUCGUUUUGAUGAUAUAUCCUAUGAAUUUUAUUGCAUUAAGCAACCUGCUCUAUUUAACUUUAUAUGUGGUGCCUUAUUCUGCAAAAGGUACACUUGAAUGGUAUUGCUACUUUCAUUGGCACAGUAUGGCUUGGUGUAGCUGUUGUGGUUCUUGCAGUCCUUAUUGGUCGGGUAGGUGACAACUUGCACAUGCAAAUUAUUAUAACAUUCUAUAUUUUCAGAGAAUUAUGAUGUUUUUUUAGUAAUAAAUUUUUCAUAUUCUUUAUAACAAGAACCCUGUUGGGUCUGUGAAUUUAUAAACGAACAGACAAGUGUAGAGUCUGCAGUGAAUGGAGUCAUUAAGAUCUUGACAAGUAUGUGUUCAUAAUUCAUAUUUUGCCAUUUUUUUUAAUAAAAUAAGGUCUUACACGCGUCCCCCUCCCAAACAAAAAAGAAAAGAGAAAAAAACGAGGUGUCUAUCGUGGUUGUCGCUGGCUUCCAUUUGGCUGUUACCAUGACGUGAGUAUGCACAAUUUAUUUAGGCUAUCUUCUUUCUUUUCCAAUUUGGAUUACUUAGUUUCUUUGUUAUCUUUCUAAGUUCCUAGUUUACUCUAAUUAUUUCAGCCUCUCGUACUCAAUGUUCAAAAAAUGAUGGCGGACAAGCCUAGGGUACAUUUUUUUCUUAAACUUAAAUACAAAUAUUUUCUGACAUAUAUGCUUGGAUAAUGUGACAGGUGCAUAUGAAACCAAGAUUCACCGUAUCGGUAUUGGACUCCAUAUCGGUACCACACUAGCAUAGUGUUGGUACGAUACAGUAUGUAGUUUUUUUGGCGUACCGAGUAUCGGUAUGCCACCGAUACCAGUGUCGGUACCGUCCAAUUUGUUCCGAUAUGGCAUACCAUGGGUGAAUCUGUGGGAUGGCCUACAACUAUUUAUAGUGAUAAGACUGGAACAUAUGAUAAUAUGAGUGAUUAAACAAUAGAAGGUGAUGUCAAGGCUGCUGGAGAACACUAAUAAGCUAGCUAUAAACAUCACAACUGAAGCUGAUGUCGGUGAACCAUAUAUAAGCCUGGAAACUGGUGGUGGAAACGCUGGUUGAUGAGGCUGCAAGUACCCUUGGCCCCGGAUGGGUGGGUGUAUGCAUAUCCAUGCAUUUUUUUUACUACUGCCUCCCUUCUAGAUGGAUGGCUCAAAAACAAGGAUCAACUAAUCAGCUGUACUUUUUUUUUUUUACCCAUAUAGUCUGUUGGCCCCACCAACCCCAGCAGCUGCAAUACAGGAAUAUCACCCCACAGAUGUGCGAGGUAUGUCUUCUCAGAACCAAGUCUGUCAACUCUUUAAGUUCAAUUUUUUUUUUCACAAUCAUGUUACUUAUAUGUCUACACAAAUUAUACAUGAUGAUUGACUAUUCUAAUCAUUUCACCAAACAAGAUGUGAUGAAGUGCUCUUUUGUUUGGUGAAAUUGGACAAACUCCAAUCACGUUUUAAUGUAUGUUGGAUGCGGUCUAGCUCCAUUAAUCAUAAUCUAAAUCUCUAGUCUCCAUAUAGCAGGGGAAACCUGGUUACGAACUUAGUGGACGAAGUCUAUAUAGACAAUCCAAAUAUGGAACUACACUUGCUUCAGCUUGUAUCUUUACGAGGCCGAGUACUCGAAAAAACCAUUAGCAAGCUGAUGAUGAUACACGGAACUAGUUUGCUUAUCAAUGGACUUGGCCACCUACUGCUUGGUGCCGGGGGAAGUUUUUUAUCUUGUGGCAGUACUAAAUGUGCAUCGUGGUGAGAGUUGUGGACAUCAGGAACAAUGGUGAGAUGAUUUGUUAUUGCUGAUAGCAUGGAGGAUUACGUUGGCGUCAAUCCAGACCACUAGACUGAGAACAGAAAGUUUCACGUAUGCACUCCCUAUGUAUAGUAAUAUUUUAUAUAAUAUUUUAUAAGAAUGUCAAAGAAAAGGGGAAUAAAUUUUAAAGUCGAUCCUUGGAAAGCUGUUUCAUGCAUAAUUAUGGUUAGGGGUGAAGACCAUGUGCCUUUGGGGUGUGGCUUGGGUUUAGGUAGAAUUGGGUCAAGGUUUUUUAACUAUGAGUUGGGCUUGAUAGGCUUAGGUUAAUGUUGAGUUUAAGUCCAAGAUGAAUCCAACCCUAACCUAAUCAUGAAUCCAAUUCAUAUAUAGUUGUGUAUCGCACAUGUUUAUAGUGUUGUAAUGCAUGUCUACCAUCUGUAUUGAAAAAUGGUUGAGAUCUCAAUCCAAUAAAUACUAAUCUAAUAAAAAUAUAUUUUCAAUAUCUUAAAAAUUCCCUAUUCAACAUGAGCCAAUCUAAGUAAUGUGGCCUAACAAAAUUUGAUUUAACAUAAUUUAAUCCAAAUUUAGUCUAAGAUGAGCCUGGGUUGGAUUUGGUUAAAGAAAUCCCAUUCGGAGGCUGAGUUAGGAUUUGCACCUCAACCCAAUUCAAACCCAAUUUAGCUGGGUUAGGAUUUGCCGUCGACCCAACUCAAUUAAGCUCGGCUGCAGCCUUAAUGUGCCUAAUGUUGUGCCUUCAAAGUCAUAUGCUACACAACUAUACUCAUAAGCCAUCAACAUUUCUUUGUACCACUACAAUUUUGUACUGAAUCUGGCAUCAGAAUCUUAAGUUGUUUACACAAAAACAAUGCACUGUGGGCCUUUAUAGCUUGGCCCAUGGGCCGUGUUAUACAUGGAUUUAACUGUUAGCUUCCUAUUUUAGGACCCGACGGUCCUCGUGAUUUCAGUAAAUCCAGCUACUUCAUUUCUUCUUCCUCUCUUGAAGUGGACAAAUUGGCUCCUGAUUCGCACACUACCACAAACCUUUACCCAUUCCAUUCCUAUAACCGCAAGUCCUCAGUGAAUAAUCUUGAAUAUGUCACCUUAUAUAAUAACAUUUUUUAUGCCCAUUGCCCAAUCAGAACAUCCAACAAAAGGUUCCAAUCUACUGAUCCCAGAGCAAGUCCAUAUCAACAAAAGUCCAAUCUACUGAUCCUACCUCCUAUGCCUUACCCUUCUGACUUUGCUACCCAACUGAAGCCCUAAGCUAGCCAAAGUGAAAUACUGAAUGCCAUCAUUCUAACCAAAUAAAACAUUCUUGUUCUAGGAUUUUCUCACGCUCCACUGACAUCAAGACUAUGAUAAUGAUAAGGAUUUUCUCACGCUUAUCCAUUGGAACAUGCCAGUGGUGCCAAGUCCGAAAGUAUACCCUUAGCCUUUAUGAAAAAUCACUUAUUCCACGUCGUGGUCUCCCACAACUAGGGCUUUCUAGUGUAAACAAGAGUAAAGAUGCAUUGGAAUUUUCAGACAUUGGAUAUGGUUGAUUGAAGUCUAAGGAAAGAGCCAAGCAGGUACCGCUUUAAAGUUGAAGGGUCUCCCUUUACGCUAUUCCGCCUAAUAACAUAUAUAAAAAAAGUAAUAACCAUCAUCCAAGCUUCCAACCGUACCCUGUCAUUUUAGGAAUGCCGAAAUCUUUGGAGAAGGAAUCUAGGCAAAGCCUGAAGCUAAUGGCACCUCAUUGUCGGGAACUGGAGGAGAAGGCUGAGGGGGACAAGUUUCACUCCUCUGUAAACCUAGGACCAUGUAUAACUAACUAUUGCGGAUUAUUUAAUUGAUGUUGAAAGUAACCCAUUGCACAUAAAUAAUAUCAUUUGAUUCACCUCGAUCGCAUGUAACCCAUUGUGCGGAAAGAAGAUCAGCUCUAGCUAACAGCUAAAAAUGUUUAAACAGCUUCUACUAGGUUGGAUAUAUAGAAAAUCCCUGAUAGCAAUGAAGUGGAGCCCUUAAUGCCUGUUAAGACAUGCCAUGGCAUUAGUUAAAAUAUUUUGUUUAUCUAAGUUGACUUGCAGAAGCUUAACUCGUAUCAUCCUACCAGCUUGCAAUGGACGGACGUAAAACCGACAAUAGAAUGCUGCACUUCUCCUAGUAUUGUGAGUGGAGAAGUGCAUUGGUAGCUGGGCAUAUACUCAUGGCUUUGCAAAGUUUCAAAUUCAUAUGCCAGAACAACAUGUUAAUAUUGGCACAUUCACGUGAUUAUGAACUGUUAAACUUUUCGAGAAGUUCUUGGUUUAGAUAUUUGUGUUGAGCUAUGAUAUUUGUGUCAAGUUGAUUCAAUUACUUAAACUCUAUAAUUGAGAGGCUUCCAAAUGGUUAAAUUAGUAUAAUAUCAAAAGGUUAGGUGCCAGCUGGCAUGGGCUCCAGGUUUGAGUCUCACCUUCACUAUACUUCAUGAUAUUCCAUGAUGAAAUGAGUCUUGUCCAUGUUUCUAAUUGGUGGACCAAAGUCCAACAUGCCACAUAUCAUUACAUUCCCACCUAAUUGCCUCCAUCCUAGUGGUUAUAGUUGGACGAUCCACCACCUUCAACCCUUAGGGUGGUAUUUUUUAUGUAUAUAUGUAUCUUUACAAAUUAUUCUUGCCUUGGCUUAUAGUUUUCUUUUCCUUGUUUGUUUAGAGUAGAAGCAAGACGAGUAUUUCACCCGGAAGCAACACUGUAUUUCUUAUAUAUCUAGCGUGAAUAUUGUGAAAGGAUAUUGUUGCUGAAAAUUGGACCUGGAGGCAACCACUGGGUUGAGAGGGAGGAGCUCCGGCGAGAGUUGGCGGGUGGCGGUCCGUCGACGAGCGGCGUCCUCUGGGAAACUUGCAAAAAGCCGGUGGCCGGGGUUUCCGGUGCCGGUCCUCCGAUGCUUAAGUCAGAGGGGGCUAAUGUGUAGAAGGAAGGAGAAAAUAUAUCUCCUCAAUUUCAGAGUUCAACCCCCUCUAAGGAGGAGGGGUUUUUCUUUUAUAGAGGGAUAUAGGUGUACCUGCAAUGUGACGGAGCGAACAAGUUGCCGUCAUAAUUGAGCAUGUCGUCCGAAUUAAUGCACGAUCAUGUGAAUUAUUGCAUUGCCGUAGGAGAUCAGACCGGAGCCAGUGAGUCGUCGUGGCUGAUCGGACGUAACCGGGUAGGUCAGCUGUUUGCCGUGAAGAGCUUGAGAUUCGUAGAUAGCAUGCGCAUUAAUUGUUGAGUGAGCCGGGGGUCUGCAGAAGUCAUGCGCAUUAAUUGUUGAGUGAGCCGGAGAUCUGCAGAGGCCAUGCGCAUUAAUUGUGGACAGCGGUGGCAGGGUAUGGUCCUCGGCCGAGUUGCCGAGGGAUGUGACCGCUGCAGAUGGGUAGCAAGGUCGGGCUCCGAGGUCGAGGACGCUGAGGUCGGGUGCCCUGGUCGGGCGUCUCGGAGUCGAACAUUUGGCCGGGUGCCAAGUCGAGAGCCUACAGGUCGGGCGCCAGGUCGGGAGCCUACAGGUCGGGCGCCUACUCGGACGCCUUCGAUCACGUGCUGGCGAUCUACUCACGUGCUUCAAGGCGAUUUAUUUUUCCCCCAACACUACCCCCGACUUCCGAGUUCGAGCCGUUUGCGAGCUCGGGCGUGGGAAGUAGUUGCCUUUAUUGCAUUGAUGGGGGCCAGGGAAUCUUAAAUCGUUCCGGCGUUUCGCGCACUUCGGGGCAUCUUUAAUUGGAGGAGAUGGGGCGACGCCUUUUCGCCCUUCGAGGCUGCCUCGCACGGUGGGCUCAUGAUGGGGCUCCGAGAUCCGAUGAGACACUGCCUUGAUUGUGUAUUCGAAGCGUCGAUCCUAAAUAUGUCGCUUCGAUUUUCGGGGCCGACACGUGGCAUGAUCUGGACAGAAGGUGGGAUCCAGUUGCGCCGAUCUGGGCCGUCAGAAGGGUCUAUAUAAACCCCUUACCUUAGCCCUAGAAAGGUCUUGCUUGGCCGCUUGUUGCUGCUGCUCUCCUUUUUCCUCCAUUUCUUUUCUCCUUUCCUAGCCGUAACCGAGCCUUCCCGGCGGUGCCCUGAGGCGAUUUCCGGCGACCCCUCCGUAGGUCAUUUUCCCACGUAGGCUCGGGGAUCCCCCUUCUUCUUCUUUUCUUUCUUCGUUUUUUGUUUUCUUCUUCGCCCUUCUCUCUUUUUUUUAAAGAUGGGUCUUGGUCCGUAUGAGGUCGGGUCUAACCUGAUGGAGGAGGAGCUAAAGUUGGUCCGUUCCCGGUUCUUUUUUCGGCCUGGAUUUCAUCUUAAGCCUGCGGGGCUGGGGGACCGGGUGACGAGACCUCCUCCAGGUUGGAUCGGGGUGUACGUUGAGACACUCUGGGCCAGCCUGCGGUUUCUUCUCCAUGAGUUUGUGAACGAUUUGCUGGUGGAGUAUCAGCUCGUCCCAGCACAACUCGCUCCGAACUCAUGGAGGACCAUCGUCGGGUUCCUAUCCCUUUGCCUUGCGCACGGGAUUCCGACCUUGGUAAGUGUCUUCCGUCGGUGCUUCUUGUUGAAGUCGAACCCGGCGGACGGAGAGUUCAGGGCCAUGCGUAUUAAUUGUGGACAGUGGUGGCAGGGUAUGGUCCUCAGCUGAGCUGCCGAGGGAUGUGACCGCUGCAGAUGGGUAGCAAGGUCGGGCUCUCGAGGUCGAGGACGCUGAGGUCGGGUUUCCGGGUCGAGCGUCUCGAAGUCGAACAUUUGGCCGGGCGCCAGGUCGGGAGCCUACAGGGUCGGGCGCCAGGUCGGAUGCCUACAGGUCGAGCGCCAGAUCGGGAGCCUUCAGGUUGGGCGCCUACUCGGACGCCUUCGAUCACGUGCUGGCGAUCUGCUCACAUGCUUCAAGACGAUUUAUUUUUUUUCCAACAGAUAUUGAUCUCGAGAAUAAAACCAUCCAUCUUGCUUUCUGCAUUCAUCGUGCCUAGUGUUAGCAUGUUAUUGGGAAAAGUGUUAACGGAAUGGGCAUCCGAAUUUUUACCCACUUUCCUGGGAGACAUCUUGUGUAGUUUUAUUCGAUGGCUUUUUUAUGAUCAUUCAUCAAAUAAUCCUAACACUUGAGUUAAUUAUAUGAACUACAUGUGCUGAAUUUUAGCUAUAUGCUGCACAAACCCUUCACUCCCUUAUAAUUGUAGUAAAUAAACCCUUUAUCCAAUAGAUGACUAAGAAAGAAAGAAAGAGAAAUGCAUGCUAGAUGGAGAGUAUCUUAAGAUUCACUGAAACAAAUAUAUACACCAAAUACUUGCUUCUCUUAAAUAAAUCACGUUCAUAUGCUUGCAUAGAAGCAUCUGAAAAAGGUUAACCAACAAACUGUAAUCGUGUUUGUGCUUUUAGGUUACAAAGAGAGGUUGAUCUGGUAAAACUUAUAUAGCUAUCCAUCAUGCUGCGUGAUUUACAAUCAGAGUGUGUCCUACAUUGUGCAUGCGCAUUGGUUUCCUCCCAUCAUUACGCUAAAAUAAUACGAGUUUCAUUUCUCGGACUCCUCAAGCAUCCACUUUAAUGAUCGAUAGAAGAUACAGUAUGCAGCAUGGCGAGGAUGGCGACCUUCCUCCUCUUUUUCCCCUACACUUCUGGGUCUUUUUAAAGGACCCUUGGUGUCAGCGUCGCGAGCGGGGAAUAGGAACCGAUACUGUGUGCCUUCCUUGGAUUACAAGGGACGGUACGGAACAUUUUAUUACCAUCAACUGUGAUGGAAUGAGAUGCAGCUCUUUUGAUGAAUUUCGUAGAAGUAUCUUUACUUUUUCGAAAAGGUGUCGGAUGGAAUGAGAUUGGAGGCUCUGCUUUUCGACAAUAUCUAUCUAUCUACCAUCUAGUAUUUAUCUACUAUAUAUAAUAAAUAUAAUGCAAAUUCUAUCUAUCUUGAAAAUCUCAACAAAUUUAAAUUAUGUUUUUUAUAAAAUAAAUUUUUAAUACUAAUCUUUUUUAAAUAACAUAAUAAACAGAUUAAAGUCCUAACUGCGUUCCAAAUGGAUAGUUCUCAUUAUAUAUUAUUUAGUGUGGUGAUAUGAAGGACACCGAUAUCGAAAUGCAGUGAGAAAUGCAGAUACAUACUGAUAAGCUCCGAGAGGAGUUCAUGCUAUAAAAAAAUUCUAGUUGUUCAAAUUGGGAAAAGAUUCUGUAUAUAAAGAUGAUAUAUAUAGCUGGAAAAAAGAAGAAGGAAGAAACGUUGCGUGCUUGGAGAAUAUAGAGAUGCUGCCACUGUCAUGCGUAUGAAUGAGUUCACGCUAUAAACCUUGCCCUUAUUUUGUGUGCUCGUAAGUACGUACACAAAAAAAUAUAUUAAAUUAGUAAUAAUUUAAUAAUUUAGUUUCAUACAUAACAAAAAAAAAAUUAUUAUGUGUACAGAAAUUCGAGAAUUAUGCUGAUCGAUCUAUGCCACGCGGCCCAUUUGCUUGCCGCAUGCGAAGACCACGUCGGUUUUCGCGGGCCUCUUAUGGUUGCGCGGCCGGUGCGCGUAUCUAUUUCACGAGAACCACGCUUAAUUCCGUCGGCAAAUCGACCGCGCCGUAGCCGUCCUCGCCGCGUCCUCACGACACUCGGCUUCCUUGUAGAGUUAAUUACUUUUAGGUUGCAUGUACGUGAGUGGGAUCGUCCCAAUAUAGUCACUGGCAGCUUUAAUAUCCGUGCGAAUUGCUCUGAGAAUGCAUAAGCAUCUCAAAACCAUUUGAGUCUGAGUUACGUGUGGCGGCAACAGCAGCCAGGUUUCCGGAUCCACUCAACCCCUGUGCCGCCCUAUUAUUUCCGGCCCUCUAAGCAUAGCACAUUGCUUUCAGGGACAGUGAGAUGUCGGUCCAGGUGGUUUGGUGGCCGGCCCAGUGUAAACACAAGGUAAUCCUCAAAGUUUGCCGACAAAGGGAGUAGUGGUGCAUGUUCUUCCCCCCCUCCCUUUCGCGGAUUCUUUUAUCGAUGCAAAGCGGUGAGCCAGGCACACCCGGCACAACCUUUUGACCAAUAUAAAGAGUGACAGACACAUGGGAACGAAGCAGAUGCCCCCAAGCACCCGAAGCUGGGUCCUCAGCCGGGUCACCGCUUCGCCUCAUCCUAUCUUCCAGCUUUUCUCCACGGCCAAGGUACGCUCCAGCACCUUGAUUUGUUUCUNNNNNNNNNNNNNNNNNNNNNNNNNNUGGUCCCGGCCGGCAGCUGAAAGAAAUGCUCCUGGCCGGACCAGUGUAGCCAUUUUUUCCGUCGCCGGCCAGAGGGGGGGGGGGAUAUUAAAGUCUAGAUCUAGGCCGCGCAGAAGAACGGCGCCGUACAUAUAUAUGCCCGUGAGAUAUAUCGGGCCACGCGUGGUACAGUGGCGGCGGUUGUCCGUUCACCUAUCCUGAGAUGCUUUCCAUCGGCCGGCGGUACGGUGGCGGCUUUGUCCGCAACUCACCGGAUGGGCCUUGGGAAGUGGUAGGUGCCGAAGAGGAUCCGAGCGGAGAGGCCUCCGCUGCGACGGAUUCAAACGAGGCAGGCUUGUUGGUUUACGCUGCAAGGCUGCAUGUCGGACUGGUCUUGCAAUAACCAAGAUCUAAUAUCCUGGUCUUGCAAUGCGCAACGUACGUGUGACAUGCAUAUACUUUGCAUACAUUAAAUAAAAUAUUAGACUGAUCUUUUAGUAAUGGAAAAUUGUUUGUCGUCAUUAAAGAUUUUUUCAUAAUUUUUUGUAUGAGGGAAGUCCCUGCAAAAGCUGCAUCUUCUUCUCACAAGUAACUUUCUCAUCAACAUAAAUAAUAUCUAGUGAUUGUUUGUUGUUUCUAUUGCAUAAAUAUAUAUACACAUAAAAGAAUAUGAAUUUAGACCCAAAUCAAUUUGUUAAGUCCAUCCAACUUACUAUUUAUAGACAUUUUUAACCAUUGAUUUUGAAAUGCAUAGAGUUUUGUUAUAUUAUGAUGGUUAUUUAUCAUGUCAUGGUAGAUAUUCAAUUUUAUAGAGUAAAUAUUAAUCAUUUUAAAAUAAAAUAAAGUAACAAUAGUUCUUAAACUAGAUUGACAUCAAUAGAACAGACUAGGUUUAUAUUAACCUAUAUUUUUGUAAAAAAAUAAAAAAAGAAAUAAAUCUAAUGUAAGUAAUCAUGAUGAUGCUUUUGUACCUAAAAAUAAAUAGGCCAGACCGAAUCAUCUCUAGUAGAUGAUGCUUUUGUAAGCAUUGAAGAUGAAUAUGUAGGUUAUUUUACUAUAUGUCAUGGUAGUUUUUGAGUCAAAAUCCUCCCUGAGCUAGAAAGAUCCAUACUUAGAAUCAUAGCCAUCAAUAUGUUGCAUGAUGACAAUGAUUGCAUGCGCUCUGCAUAUAAGUAUAUGAGAUGGCUUAUAUAUCGUGCAAUGAUCAUGUAAUCGCAUCAUUAUGCACGACAUAGAUGGGUAUAAUAGUGAAAAUGAACCUCUACAGUUCAACCUUGAGUUGAGGAGGAUCUAAACUUGCUUAUUUAUAUUACUCAUGUCUUACAUGCAUGUUGAACCUCUUAAAAUUACACAAUUAUGCCAGUCUAUCACUAGCCAAUACAAAAGGAUACUAUGUGUGUAUUUCAUGCACUUUGAGAUUGUUUGAGCUAUGUAAAGAGAACCAUAUGUAGUUUGAGUUAUAAUUUAUGCUCGUUUGCUUAUUUGGAUGCCCAUGAGUCGAUCGAGAUGCUAUAUAGGUUAAGCACUUGGUUGUUUGCAUCUCAAGCUUGAUCUAUGAUAUGUCAACCCAUAGCCAAAUAGGUCACUCUCAUUCCGAUCCUCUUCCCUCCUACAUAACUCCACCCCCCAUCCUCCUUUUCCUCCUCUCUCCAUCACUCCCCCUUAUAUUCCCUCUAAAUAGGAGAAAUUGAGUUCUUGCAAUUCAAUCUAGAUUGUAGCUUGAGUUGCUAGCUCCAUCUACAAUACUCUAAAUAAUUUUU